CUAGUUGGUAGGGUAAGGGCCUACCAAGGCGACGAUCGGUAGCUGGUCUGAGAGGAUGGCCAGCCACACUGGAACUGAGACACGGUCCAGACUCCUACGGGAGGCAGCAGUGGGGAAUAUUGGACAAUGGGGGCAACCCUGAUCCAGCAAUGCCGCGUGUGUGAAGAAGGCCUGAGGGUUGUAAAGCACUUUCAGUGGGGAGGAGGAUUGAUUGGUUAAGAGCUGAUUGAUUGGACGUUACCCACAGAAGAAGCACCGGCUAACUCCGUGCCAGCAGCCGCGGUAAUACGGAGGGUGCGAGCGUUAAUCGGAAUUACUGGGCGUAAAGGGUGCGUAGGUGGUUGAUUAAGUUAUCUGUGAAAUCCCCGGGCUUAACCUGGGCAGGUCAGAUAAUACUGGUUGACUCGAGUAUGGGAGAGGGUAGUGGAAUUUCCGGUGUAGCGGUGAAAUGCGUAGAGAUCGGAAGGAACACCAGUGGCGAAGGCGGCUACCUGGCCUAAUACUGACACUGAGGCACGAAAGCGUGGGGAGCAAACAGGAUUAGAUACCCUGGUAGUCCACGCCGUAAACGAUGUCAACUAGCUGUUGGUUAUAUGAAAAUAAUUAGUGGCGCAGCAAACGCGAUAAGUUGAC
rnacentral:rRNA from 1 species